GUUUCAUCUGGGUAACCUACUUCUUGAUGGGGAGGCGAGGAGAGAGCUCGGUUUGAUAGGAUGUCGGCGUAACUUGGCUAGAACGGCGCUUGAAAAGUAGCAACUGUUCUUGUGGAUGAGUGUGGCCUCUGAGGAAAGAGACAAAUGGGCUGUCGAGAGGAAGAGUUUGUCAUUUUAGUCUCCUCCAUACACAGGGUCUAUCUUUCAAGGCCUAUGAAUAACAGCACUACAAGAGAUCACUCCGCAGCAGUACAGGAAAAAGGUCCAAUUCACACACUUUUCAAGAGAACGUCCCUGGUCAUCCCUACUGCCUCUGAUCUGGUGGACUCACUAAACAUAAACGCUUCCUUUGUAAAUUAUGUCUGUGUUGGAGUUG
ensembl:lncRNA